rnacentral:rRNA from 2 species
ACAAUGAAGAGUUUGAUCCUGGCUCAGGAUGAACGCUAGCUACAGGCUUAACACAUGCAAGUCGAGGGGC